rfam:Oryza glumipatula chromosome 10, whole genome shotgun sequence.
AAUAUAUGACGCCGUUGACUUUUCGUCCGACGUUUGACCAUUCGUCUUAUUCAAAAAAAUUACGUAAUUAUUAUUUAUUUUAUUGUGACUUGAUUCAUCAUCAAAUGUUCUUUAAGCAUGACAUAAAUAUUUUCAUAUUUUCACAUAAAUUUUGAAUAAAACGAAUGGUCAAACGUUGGUAAAAAAUUCAACGACGUCAUACAUU